rnacentral:rRNA from 1 species
CUGACAUGAGUAGCGUUAAAGGGGGUGAAAAGCCCCCUCGCCGUAAGCGCAAGGUUUUCUACGCAACGUUCAUCGGCGUAGAGUGAGUCGGCCCCUAAGGCGAGGCAGAGAUGCGUAGCUGAUGGGAAACAGGUCAAUAUUCCUGUACCGAUGUGUAGUGCGAUGUGGGGACGGAGAAGGUUAGCUCAGCCAACUGUUGGAUAUGUUGUUUCAAGCCUGUAGUCGUGCCUGGUAGGUAAAUCCGCCGGGCUUAGAUGAGGGGUGAUAACGAGGCUGCUUGCAGCCGAAGUGAGUGAUACCCUGCUUCCAGGAAAAGCCACUAAGCCUCAGCUACACACGACCGUACCGCAAACCGACACUGGUGCGCGAGAUGAGUAUUCUAAGGCGCUUGAGAGAACUCAGGAGAAGGAACUCGGCAAAUUGACACCGUAACUUCGGAAGAAGGUGUGCCUUGAGUAGGUAAAGUCCCUGCGGAUGGAGCCCAAAAAGGUUGCAAAAAAUCGGUGGCUGCGACUGUUUAUUAAAAACACAGCACUCUGCAAACACGAAAGUGGACGUAUAGGGUGUGACGCCUGCCCGGUGCUGGAAGAUUAAAUGAUGGGGUGCAAGCUCUUGAUUGAAGUCCCAGUAAACGGCGGCCGUAACUAUAACGGUCCUAAGGUAGCGAAAUUCCUUGUCGGGUAAGUUCCGACCUGCACGAAUGGCGUAACGAUGGCCACACUGUCUCCUCCUGAGACUCAGCGAAGUUGAAAUGUUUGUGAUGAUGCAAUCUCCCCGCGGAAAGACGGAAAGACCCCAUGAACCUUUACUGUAGCUUUGUAUUGGACUUUGAACAGAUCUGUGUAGGAUAGGUGGGAGGCUUUGAAGCGGUGCCGCUAGGUAUCGUGGAGCCAACGUUGAAAUACCACCCUGGUGUGUUUGAGGUUCUAACCUAGGUCCAUUAUCUGGAUCGGGGACAGUGCAUGGUAGGCAGUUUGACUGGGGCGGUCUCCUCCCAAAGCGUAACGGAGGAGUUCGAAGGUACGCUAGUUACGGUCGGACAUCGUGACGAUAGUGCAAUGGCAUAAGCGUGCUUAACUGCGAGACUGACAAGUCGAGCAGAUGCGAAAGCAGGACAUAGUGAUCCGGUGGUUCUGUAUGGAAGGGCCAUCGCUCAACGGAUAAAAGGUACUCUGGGGAUAACAGGCUGAUACCGCCCAAGAGUUCAUAUCGACGGCGGUGUUUGGCACCUCGAUGUUGGCUCAUCUCAUCCUGGGGCUGUAGCCGGUCCCAAGGGUAUGGCUGUUCGCCAUUUAAAGAGGUACGUGAGCUGGGUUUAAAACGUCGUGAGACAGUUUGGUCCCUAUCUUCCGUGGGCGCUGCAGAUUUGAGGAAGCCUGCUCCUAGUACGAGAGGACCGGAGUGGACACACCUCUGGUGUAUCGGUUGUCCCGCCCGUGGCAUUGCCGAGUAGCUAAGUGUGGAAGAGAUAAACGCUGAAAGCAUCUAAGCGUGAAACUCGUUUCAAGAUGAGAUCUGCCGGGGCCUUGAGCCCCCUAAAGAGUCGUUCUAGACCAGGACGUUGAUAGGCAGGGUGUGGAAGCGCAGUAAUGCGUUAAGCUAACCUGUACUAAUUGCUCGUGCGGCUUGACCCG